rnacentral:rRNA from 1 species
UACGUAGGGGGCAAGCGUUGUCCGGAAUUAUUGGGCGUAAAGAGCUCGUAGGCGGUUUGUCGCGUCUGCUGUGAGAACGCGAGGCUCAACCUCGCGCCUGCAGUGGGUACGGGCAGACUAGAGUGCGGUAGGGGAGAUUGGAAUUCCUGGUGUAGCGGUGGAAUGCGCAGAUAUCAGGAGGAACACCGAUGGCGAAGGCAGAUCUCUGGGCCGUAACUGACGCUGAGGAGCGAAAGCAUGGGGAGCGAACAGG